ACUGUUCCCUGGGAUUGGCUUUGGGCCUUUCCUGCGUAGCUUAGGUGGAAGGCGAAGAAGGCCCCCUUCCGGGGGGGCCCGAGCCAUCAGUGAGAUACCACUCUGGAAGAGCUCGAAUUCCAACCUUGUGUCAGACCUGCGGGCCAAGGGACAGUCUCAGGUAGACAGU
rnacentral:ncRNA from 1 species